rnacentral:rRNA from 1 species
CCACGAAGUUGGAUUCGCUAGUAAUCGCGCAUCAGCCAUGGCGCGGUGAAUACGUUCCCGGGCCUUGUACACACCGCCCGUCAAGCCAUGGGAGCCGGGGGCGCCUGAAGUCCGGGACCGCGAGGACCGGCCUAGGGCGAAACUGGUAACUGGGGCUAAGUCGUAACAAGGUAUC